ensembl:processed_transcript 2500004C02Rik RIKEN cDNA 2500004C02 gene
UUUUUUUUGAACAAAAACAAACCGAAAGGGUGGCUGGGAUUUGUAGUCCUCACUGGCUUCCUGGCCUACCCCUCUCCGGAAGAAAAUGGCUGCCUCAAGUGCUUGGACCACAUUUCCCGGAGUGCCCCGGGCUCCUGUUUUCCGCCCACUUUCUUCCGUACCCCGCUGCGCUCCAAGCACGGUGACCUUUGAAAGUUAACAGGGGUGCCAUGGGCUGAGUAAGAUAAACGGAACUGCUGUUCAACCCCGCCCAGUCUGGGGAUGAGUCAUUGUUUUCAAAUUUAUGAACAAAGCACACAAAUUAAGAAUAAUACAAGUAAGAAACAGCAGAGAGACACAAAAGGACAUAGAAUCCCUGAUCCUCACUGUGAUCUGGUAACACUAGUUCUAGGGCUGGAGAGAGAGAUGCUCAGGGCAAGUGCUCUUACAGAGAACAUGAGUUCAAUUCCCAGAACCCACAUGGUACCUCACAACUGCCUAUUUCAUACAUGUGGGGCAGAACACCGAUACACAUACUUUUUUUUUUAAGAAUUGAAAAAAAAAAAUUGGUUCUGGACUCCAGUGGGUCUGAGUUUGAAACCGUAGCUGUUCUCCAGUUGUGUGGCCUUGAAUAAGUUAUGCAACUUCAUCAACCAAGCACUGUCAUUGGACAGCAGAGAAUAUGACAAAAGUCAACGGGCGAUCUGAACAAGUGGCACAUGCUUGCAUACUUGGAUGACACAGUUCGAGAAGCACUUGAACCCUGAAGUUUACAAACAGCCUCGAUAACACAGGAAGACCCCAUCUCAGAAGAAUAGAUGAGAUCACUAUUUCUCAGCUUCAGCAUUGCAGAUGAUCAGCUAAUGUGGAACUCUCCAGCCCCUUUGCACAUUGCAUUUCUUUGCAUGGCUUUUGGUUGGUAACUAUACAUUUGGCAUCUGUUUGGAUUUUUUUUCUGUAUACCCCAAAUGCCAGCCAUAGUCUUGGGCAUAUAGUAGGCAGUCAAACUGUUGGUGUAUGAACCAUUCUCAGUAAUUCUUUUGUUGUAGACAGUCUCUGAGGAAUUAUCCCCUAUUGAAUGGUCUCAUAACAGUUUUGGAAAGCGCUCAUGUAGGGAAAAAACUAAGAUAAGAUUUUACCCAGGAAGGUCUCCACAAGUGCAAAGUAGAGACUUCAGGACAUUCCCAGUCUCGUUGUGUUGCCAAAUCUACCCUCACAAUGCAUGACUUAACUCAUAAAUCCUGGGCCAGUCACAGUUUUUUAAAUUCUACUCUUUAGUCUCCCAUGCUCUGGAGAAGGUAUUUAAAUUGCCAAAAUGUUUAACAAUAGUUCUCUAGGUUUUAUAAGACUAGUUAGUUUACUGGUAAUUUUUCUGUACAAAAAAAUUGCAUUGGGCUGGUGAGAUGGCUCAGUGGGUAAGAGCACCCAACUGCUCUUCUGAAGGUCUGAAGUUCAAAUCCCAGCAACCACAUGGUGGCUCACAACCAUNNNNNNNNNNNNNNNNNNNNNNAAAAAAAUACUUGCUAAAAAAUUGCAUUAUUUUAACUUUAAAAGUUUUUACUUCAAAAACAAUAAAACAUUUAAAGUGGCAGUUAUAAUAGUGAUAUAGUAAAUAUAUUUUUUCUGUCACAUCUUCCAAAUCUAGAAUGUGUGCUCCAUUAUGAUGUAAAAGUAAAGUUUCAUUAAUAUCAGCCAACAGUGGAAGAACAUCUUUAAUAAUAGAUUCAUCUUCCCACUUUGGUGGACCUGUAGAGUGGCCUCAAAGGGAGACUUAAGCUGGUUUUUAUCAAAAUUUUGGGACAUGACAUUUCCUGACAGAAUAAAGUUUUCUGGUAGAAAUUUCC